GACAGAGGUCUCGAGCGUUGUUCGGAUUCAUUGGGCGUAAAGGGUGCGUAGGCUGCGGGGCAAGUCUGAUGUGAAAUCCUGGGGCUCAACCCCAGAACUGCAUUGGAUACUGCUUUGCUAGAGUACUGGAGAGGAGACUGGAAUUUACGGUGUAGCAGUGAAAUGCGUAGAGAUCGUAAGGAAGACCAGUGGCGAAGGCGAGUCUCUGGACAGUUCCUGACGCUGAGGCACGAAGGUCAGGGGAGCAAACGGG
rnacentral:rRNA from 1 species